AUUCACUCUGCAAUCAAGUCUCCCAUAAAACCACUGGUUUCUCUCCUGCUCAUCGCCAGAUCGUUUCAUCAGUCAACAUUGCUGUGCUCGCUGUACAGACUCGAGCUUUGCCUUCUCCUUGCCUGCCGGUGGACCUGCCUGUUACCGACGCUCACCUCCACGCACUCACCGGUGACUUCGCCUACCCCGCCAGGACCCUGGCACUUUGCACAUCCCUUCACUCGCACUUGUUUUUGCACCUCCGUUUGAACAAUCAAAAACUAUUGUUACACUGUUAACCAGAGUCGAGUUGUGCAUUUGGGUCCUAAUCCAACGCAAACCGUAACACCAGAUUUGUCAACAUGGUCAUACUUAAAUUUAUAUACUUCUCUGUCCGUUUGUUGUAUGCUUGUUGUAUUUUAAUAUGUUGUCUAUUGUAUGCUUGAUGCACUUUAAUAUGGGCAUUCUGCAAUAGAAUCUUGCACUUAUUAGCACUUUAUUAGGAUAUUUCUGCAAAACAAUUCAGUACUUUAUACAAGCAUUUCUUGCAAUACUGCCCAGCACUUUAUUAUGGGCAUCUCUGCAAUACAAUUCAGCAAUUUACUAUAUAAUCCUGCACUUUAUUUCGACCGGGCAUUCUGUGAUAAAAUACAGCUGUACAUAACUUAGCACUUUAUACAGGCAUUUUUGCCCAGCAAUCCAGCACUUUAUUAUGGGCACUCCUGCAAUACAAAUUAGCACUUAGCACUGUAUAAUCCAUGUUCACAAUAGAAUUUCAAUAUUGAGCUAAUUAAUCAUGUGUCAUCCCAAACAUAUAGUCUGUGUUGUUAUGCAUUAUCCCCACUUACUUACCUAGUAAAGAAACUAAUGUCUUUGUCCGAGGCAGCAAAACGGUGGAUGCCGAACUGCUGCCAGCAUAAGGCUCUGGACCUGUCCUCGUAGCUGGCGAAUUUCCUCCUGGAGAGAAACAUUUUCCUCCAGCAUCAAAUUGACGACCGCUGGGUUUGGAGCCGACACGUAGUCAUGGUACAUUGAGACAUCUUCCACUGCAUGGUCAGGUGCGUUAGCCACGCUGUCAUCCUCUGGCAGCGGUCUCUGCCUUCUUUCACAAACCCCUGGCCGUGGAAGUGGAAGGGAGAAAUUGUUCCACUCAAAUAACUCUGGGACAGAUCCCCUUUUCAACAGACGUCAUGCGGUUUCUGAUGCUGGCUCACGGAUGCCUUCUGGUUUAAAAUGCAUGCUACACACCCAGGUGUGAGCAGUGAUCAUAAAUUUGUCCCUGCGGAUCGCAACUAUCCACUUUUGCCUUACCUCCUCAUUGGCAGGAAAAGUGAACAAAGUACAUACUUGCUAGAUGCCUGGCACAAUGGCACACAACAGUGCUCAGCUGUCGUACCAGACAAUCGCUGAUAUUUAAACUUUUUCAUCAUCGAGUUGACCAGCUUAGCCACUACCUACCAAAACAAAGAGGAUGGCCACCGGAAGUGUUCACGCUGGCUGACCUUUAAGCGGAAGUACAUCACCACAACAGUUGGCAUAUAGCCUAUUCUUCAUUCAGCCCACUGUUUGAGGAAUGAGUACAGCAGAAUUCCACUUCAUGGGCAGGAUCAUGGAAGUAGAUCUGGGCAAAGAGGGGUAUUUGACCCCGUUCAGGAAGGGGACUAGCAAUGUAAUGAUAAACUUUCCCUUGUGUUCAUAGGCAUGGGUUGAAGCCAGGAAUAGCAACUUCUCUAAUGCCAAUGCUUGCCA